UAUCCAAUCCAAAUGUCCAAAUG
rnacentral:miRNA from 1 species